UACGGAGGGUGCAAGCGUUAUCCGGAUUCACUGGGUUUAAAGGGUGCGUAGGCGGGUUGGUAAGUCCGUGGUGAAAUCUCCAAGCUUAACUUGGAAACUGCCGUGGAUACUAUCAAUCUUGAAUAUCGUGGAGGUAAGCGGAAUAUGUCAUGUAGCGGUGAAAUGCUUAGAUAUGACAUAGAACACCAAUUGCGUAGGCAGCUUACUACACGAUCAUUGACGCUGAGGCACGAAAAGCGUGGGGAGCAAACAGG
rnacentral:rRNA from 1 species